CCAUGUUCCUCCCCUUGAUGAUACUGGACUGAACCUCUAAACCUUUCAAAGACCUGCUUUUGCUGUGAUUAUAAAUGAAGACACACAUCUUCUCUUGAGUCGACAGCUGCACUGGAACUAUGAACCUGAUGCAAAGGGGAGAAGUCAUAUUUCUUUCCAUAGAUGAUCACCUGCCAGCUCUGCACCACCGAUCUUGGCAGUUGGUCAGCAGCACCAAUCCAAUCCCAGCUUUGCUCCCGCGAUGGCAGUUGGCGUUGUCUAUUUGGUUACUAUUAUUUACUUCCACUCUGCCAGAAAAAUAAACAUGUAGUUAUUGAAAUGUAUGAUGCAUUUUAUUUUCACUUGAUGCUAGAAAUACAUUUUUAAAAAUACAGCAUACCGGAAACCAAAUAGGGAAAAAAUAGAAAUUCCGUAAUGUUCUAGUGAAAACUAUGAAUUUUUUUUUGGCUUCUCUAAUCAAGGUAAUCAAACUUGCUUCUUUGUUUCAUUCCAAACCACAUGCCCAUUGUGCUCACUGCUGCUUAUAAUAUUGUAAUAAUCUGAAAUAGAGUUUGAGACUUUCCCAAAGGAAGAGAGCUGUUAUUAUUUUCUACCAAUAACCAUGGCUUGCUAUCAUAGGUCUGAUGACUUUUCGUUGAUCUGAGAAGAACUGCACACUAGCACAGCCAAGAUGCAAGGAUAUGGAGUUUGAUACCAUCCUCCAAGUUUCCCAUAAAUCAUAAUCUAUGAGAAUGUUCCUUUUAGCCCACAGUAGACACCCAAGGAAAAGACUUUCAGAUUUAUUAGGUAGGACUCAGUGCCCAUAAAGAUGUGGAUUUCCUAGAACAGCUGGUAUAUGGAUAAAGACAGCAUAGUGAGGAUGAAACCAUCUGUGUCAAUCAAACUCAGACUCACAGAGAGAAGAAACAUGUUACUGUUGUUUGUACUGCCGAGACAUUGAUGUCUGAAGACCUUUAUGUCUGCCACAUAGGUAUUGCAUGAGCAUCUAUAGAAUGAAUCUAUAGGAAUAAACACAAGCAAACAUAUUCUACUCUUCUCUCCAUGAGUUUCCCAGAGAGAAUAUUGUCUUUACUCUACUUUCAGGGAUUUAAAAGAACUUUUUGAUUUUAAGCAGAAAGACACAGAAAUCUUUGCAAGUCUGGGCAACACGGAUGGGGAACAUCACUAGUGCAAAGAUUUGGAAGAGCAGUGUGGAAGUGGGUCACGGUGCACACUCACAAUAAAGCUUCCACUGGAUCAUUUAUCCUUUAGUCAUACAUAGUUCGUACAGUUCUUUCCCAUCAGGACAGACUAGAAUAGAGAAAGAGUUUAUUGAAUUCCCUGUCAAAUAUUUCCAUGUGAAUACAUGUUUCUACAGGAUUGAAGGGGAAGGUGACAGUUCUCUUAGUGAUAUACUUUAUUGAUGAUGUUUUGAAAAUAUUUCAGUGCAAAAUAAAGUACAUAAUGAGCUAUGGAGUUCAAACAUUCUCUACAUAUUGCUUUCAAAGCUGUCAUUUAGUAUCAUAGCAAAAACAAUCUGACAGUAGCUUGUGAGCAGCGCUUGUGUUGAACGAAAUCCAUCCCCAUCUCCACACCCUGAAGAGAGAAAGGUUGAAGUGGUGCCUAAAAGGUAGCCUGUCUUCUGGUGUGAGAUAUUAUCAUAUUGGCCUGACUUGACAUUUCUUUGCAGAUUGAUAUUCUGAUUUUAGAGUAGCAUGUAACUGUAGCUGAAUGGCAUGGACUAUUUUAUAGCAUCAAUCUGUUAUGUGACAGUAUGUUGAGAUGUGUUAGCCUUCUCUUUGAAAGUGCAAAUUCAGGGUCAGGAACCUAUUAUGCAUAUAACCACUUUUUAAAAAUAGCAACAUUCUCUGUUUCCAUCUCUCUUGCUUUCUCUACCCUUUCUCUCUCAAAACGCACACACACACACACACACACACACACACACACACACACACACACACACAAUCUAUACAAUGUAUCACCAUUCCUUUUUGGUAGAGAAUUAUUUUCAGGAGAGCAUGGAGUUUGUCUACCUGUUCACCAGCAGCCCCUGGUAUGUGAUAAGAUGUGGUUAAAUACUUCAAAGAUUUGACAAAUUAAUGAAUGAUAUUCACUGGGAUAGUCCUAAGUCCAAGACUGUGCUCCUUACCAGUGCACA